UACGGGGGGUGCGAGCGUUGUCCGGAUUCACUGGGCGUAAAGGGCGCGUAGGCGGCCGAGUCAGUCGGGCCUGUAAGUGCGGGGCUUAACCCCGUGAUGGGCCCGGGACGGCGCGGCUGGGGCGCGGUCGAGGGAGACGGAAUGCCGGGUGUAGUGGGGAAAUGCGUAGAGAUCCGGCGGAACACCGGUGGUGAAGACGGUCUCCUGGGCCGAGGGCCGACGCUGAGGCGCGAAGGCGUGGGGAGCGAACGGG
rnacentral:rRNA from 1 species